CGAACCGCGGCGACCGGGACGGGCUCCCCCACCCUCUCCCUGGCGGAUCCUUCCUACUUGCCUUCCUCCCCCCGGCAACAAGCCCCCACUACCCACGACGAUCGACAACGACGGCACGGGACCUUCCACCCCGCCAGGGCCAACGAACCCCGCACCACGAGCUGCGUGAGGCGCGAGGGAGCCUCCGAGGGAGGAAUCUGGACCGCGGUGGUGGCCACGGGAACUCGGCCCCAGCCGGCUCUCUUCCCUCUCUGUUUUCGCGGGUGGCGGUGCCGCCCUCUCUCUCUUCCUCACAGCCGGGAGUCCCCCUUCCCCAUGCCACCCAAUGCGUGACCACACAGGGCCUGCGGGGGGAGGGAGAAGGGGCGGGCACGGCGGCAGAGGAGGGCGGACGUCGCCGGUCUGCACUUGGGGGGACGGAGGGCCCCGGCAGGCCACGUCAGGGAACCCCCAGCCAUGCACCCCGAGGAGCCCGGAGGCCACUUGUCCCUCUAAGAAGUUGGGGGACGCCGACCGCUCGGGGGUCACGUAACUAGUUAGCAUGCCAGAGUCUCGUUGGUUAUUGGAAUUAACCAGACAAAUCACUCCACCAACUAAGGCCAUGCACCACCACCCAUGGAACAGAGAAACAGCUAUCAAUCUGUCAUGCGCCGGUCCAAGAAUUUCACCUCUAGCGGUGCAAUACAAAUGCCCCCAGCUGUCCCUCUUAAUCAUGGCCUCAGUUCCAUAAACCAACAAAAUAGAACCGCGGUCCUAUUCCAUUAUUCCUAGCUGCGGUAUCCAGGCGGCUUGGACCUGCUUUGAACACUCUAAUUUUUUCAAAGUAAACGCUUUGGGCCGCGGAACACUCAGCUAAGAGCAUCGAGGGGGCGCCAAGAGCUUUUUAACUGCAGCAACUUUAAUAUACGCUAUUGGAGCUGGAAUUACCGCGGCUGCUGGCACUAAACUUGCCCUCCAAUGGAUCUUCGUUAAAGGAUUUAAAGUGGACUCAUUCCAAUUACAGGACCUCGAAAGAGUCCUGUAUUGUUAU
rnacentral:lncRNA from 1 species